GUAACCCAGGGGAACGGGGAGAGAGAGAGGAGAGCCCUCUCUAUCUCUGACAGGAUUCCCAAAAGAACGCGUAGAAGGCUCUUUCCUCACUUCUCCCCCUAGAGAUCAUCUACGCACUACUCAAAAUGCCUCUCAGUCUCUAGCUCCUGGGCCUGUCUGAACAUCGAAUCCUAUUAUCUUCCCUAUUCCAAAUCCAUUUAUUUAGGAGAACUUUGCUAACUCUGAGCUCUAGAAUCUUGCUCAUUGCAUCGAAAUUCUCUCUCUCUCUUUCUCUCUCUCUCUCUGAAGACAGCGUCUCUGGCCUGGGGACUAACAAUGCGUGUGGUACAUAGUCUGUAGUCGAACUUCUCUUUGGACCAAUGCUCUUCAACAGGAAUACGAUGCGAGACCCAAAAGCAAACCUCCUACAUCGUUUUGAACUUCCUGGUAUCUACAUUAAAAAAGUAAAAAGAAAUUGGUAAACUCAAAUGUAUUUUCUUUGACCCUAUGUUUCCACAGUAGUAUUUUAACAUGUGAUCGAAUGAACAUGGUAACCGAGAGACGCUCUAUUCUUUUUUUUUUUUUUUUUUUAUACGAAGUCUUUGAAACCCAGUAUGUAUUUGUACUUGGAGCACAUCUCCAUUGGGACCAGCCACACUGCCAUAACCACAUGUGGCCGGGUGCCACCCAGUUGUACAGGGGAACUGCGGAGCAGAAUCUAUAGCAACACUGAUUAGCCUGCAGCUCCUGGCUGGUCAAAAGAACGUGAGCCACAGGACAGAAGAAACCAUCCAUCCUGGAAUGAGCAGUAGUUCGUCGGAAGAGCCUUUGGCCAUGACGUGAGGUUCAGCUCAGGCCUAAUGAUAGAUGAGGACAAUCAGUACCAGAGGGAAGGAAUUCUGGCCUUCUCUUCGUUCAGUCUAACAGAUACUUAUCACACA